UACGGAGGGUGCAAACGUUGCUCGGAAUCAUUGGGCGUAAAGCGCACGUAGGUGGCCUGUUAAGUCGGGUGUGAAAUCCCUGGGCUCAACCCAGGAAGUGCACUCGAAACUGGCAGGCUUGAGUACUGAAGAGGGUCGCGGAAUUCCCGGUGUAGAGGUGAAAUUCGUAGAUAUCGGGAGGAACACCAGUGGCGAAGGCGGCGACCUGGGCAGAUACUGACACUGAGGUGCGAAAGCGUGGGGAGCAAACCGG
rnacentral:rRNA from 1 species